GUUAUAGUUUAUUUGAUGGUCUUUACUACAUGGAUAACCGUGGUAAUUCUAUGGCUAAUACAUGCGCACAUGCCUCUCCCUCUGGGAGGGCAGUGUUUAUUAGAUACAGAACCAACCCACCUUCUGGUGGUUCUCGGGUGAUUCAUAGUAACUGAACGGAUCGCGUUAUGACUUCGGUCUGCGACGGAUCAUUCAAGUUUCUGACCUAUCAGCUUUCGACGGUACUGUAUUGGA
rnacentral:rRNA from 3 species